GUGUGGAAAGUUGGGCGGCGUGCUUACACAUGCAGUCGAACGAUGAUCCGGUGCUUGCGCCGGGGAUUCUUUGGCGAACGGGUGAGUAACACGUGAGUAACCUGCCCUUGACUCUGGGAUAAGCCUGGGAAACUGGGUCUAAUACCGGAUAUGACUCCUCAUCGCAUGGUGGGGGGUGGAAAGCUUUUUGUGGUUUUGGAUGGACUCCCGGCCUUUCAGCUUGUUGGUGGGGUAAUGGCCUACCAAGGCGACAACCGGGUAGCCGGCCUGAUG
rnacentral:rRNA from 1 species